rnacentral:rRNA from 1 species
GAUGAACGCUGGCGGCGUGCCUAACACAUGCAAGUCGGACGGUGGUGACCUUUCGGGGGUGACCACAGUGGCGCACGGGUGAGGAACACGUAGCUGACCUGCCCUGGAGCGCGGGAUAACCCUGGGAAACGAGGGCUAAGACCGCCUACGCUCGCGCGCUGUAGAGGCGCGCGAGGAAAACCGUAAGGUGCUCUGGGAGGGGGCUGCGGCCCAUCAGGUAGUUGGUGGGGUAAGAGCCACCAAGCCGACGACGGGUCGGGGGUCUGAGAGGAUGAUCCCCCACACUGGGACUGAGACACGGCCCAGACUCCUACGGGAGGCAGCAGUGAGGAAUCUUGCACAAUGGGGGCAACCCUGAUGCAGCGACGCCGCGUGGGCGGUGAAGGUCUUCGGAUCGUAAAGCCCUUUUCUGCGUGACGAGGAGCGGACGGUAGCGCGAGGAAGAAGCGUCGGCUAACUACGUGCCAGCAGC